ensembl:lncRNA
CGGCACAGGCUGCCUGACUCACAGACAGUGAGCGAUCAUGCGAAAGAUGACAGAGAGAAGUGCGAGAAUUACAGAGAAAGAAGUCAGAUAAGAGUGAGUAAUACAGCGGGAGAAGGCAGAUAAGACAGCGGGAGAAGAGUGAGAAAGACAGCGGGAGAAGAGUGAGAGACAGCGGGAGAAGAGUGAGAGACAGCGGGAGAAGAGUGAGAAAGACAGCGGGAGAAGAGUGAGAAAGACAGCGGAAGAAGAGUGUAAUACAGCAGGAGAAGAGUGAGAAAGACAGCGGGAGAAGAGUUAGAAAGACAGCGGGAGAAGAGUGAGUAAUGCAGCGGGAGAAGAGUGAGUAAUACAGCGGGGUAAGAGUGAGAAAGACAGCGGGAGAAGAGUGAGAAAGACAGCGGGAGAAGAGUGAGAAAGACAGCGGGAGAAGAGUGAGAAAGACAGCAGGAGAAGAGUCAGUAAGACAGUGGGAGAAGAGUCAGUAAUACAGCGGGAUAAGAGUGAGAAAGACAGCGGGAGAACAGUGAGAAAGACAGCGGGAGAACAGUGAGAAAUACAGCGAGACAGACCGAGUGAGCCGGAGACAAAAAAAUAAAUACACAUGGCGCUCUCUAAGAAGAGAAAAGUGGACCGCGAAAACAGCUUUCAACCCAGAAUGGACAGACUCAUUCAUGUUCAUUCUUCCCACUGGCAACACAAAAUCAGGUUGUCUCAUAUGCUCAGAGACAGUGGCACUCAUAAAAAGUGCCAACGUGAAACGUGAUAUGAGACAAAGCACAACGGUUUUCAACAAACGUACCCACUCAAGUCUGAACUGCGGUCACAGAAAAGAAGCAGUCUCAGAACCCAAUAUGAACAAUCCAACCGGAUCCUAACCGAUUCAUUCACUGCCCAACAACGUGCUAAUGAAUGUUCCCUCCGAGUAUUUUGGGUCAAGACAAAAAGCCAUUUACUGAUGGAGGGGUUGUCAAGUUAUGCAUGAGUGCAGUAGCUGAAACCUUACUUGAGGGGAAAGAGAAAGAAGAACUCUGUGACAAAAUAAAGCAAAUACCCAUGUCAGCAUCAUCAGCCACAAAGAAAAGUGAAAUGUUAACCCAGGACGUGCUAGCCCAGCUGGAUGAAGCCAUUCAUAAGGUGCCGCAGGAAAGGACAAAAGAGUGGACAGGGCUGUAGGUGUUUGCAAGAAAGUGGUCUCUGCCUUUUCUUACUCAUGGAAGAAAAAGAGUACGCUCUCCAAAGCACAGCAACGUUUCAAUCUUCCCACACACCAGCUUAUCACAGAGUCACUAACCAGGUGGGGCUCAAGACAAAAGAUGGUGGCAAGGGUCCUAGAGCAACAAAAGGCCAUCAUUGACUUUCUGUCGGCUGAUAUAAACAACACCUGAUCCCAACGUGGCAGGACAUUGAUAUCCUUGAGUCCAUGAACGCGGCCUUAACUCCUCUCCUGGAGUUCACAGACUCCCUUUUUUGGGGAGUCAUAUGUGACAGUGUCCUAUGUGAAGCCUGUGCUCCACCUGUUCCUUACCAAUUUGCUUAAAGUAAACGAGGAAGACACUCAGCUCACAAAAGAGAUGAAAAAAUAAUAAUGACCUAUCUUGAAGAGAAGUAUGCUGGCCCUGACACAGACGAUCUCCUUGAAAUGGCUACCUUGAUGGACCCCAGGUUUAAAGUCCAAUACAUUAGACCAGAAAAGGUAAGGGCCAUUCAAAUGAGAGCAGUGUCUGAGGGAGUCAAUGAAGGCCAGUCACAGGCAGGGGCUUCUGAGGGGCAGCAGACCAAGGUGCAGAAGGUGGAGCUGCGGCUGCGGCUGCCACUGACCACCUCUACCACUGGGCGUGAAGAAGCAACGCAAGUCAUUGGGGAGCUUCUUCAAAAAGCAGAGUCAAGAAGAAGAUGACUUGCCUCUCACUGAAGAACAAAAAGUGGAGAGUGAGCUAGAAAGGUACCUGAUGUGCCCUGAUGCAAACAGUGAGUCUGAACCCCUGGACUGGUGGAGGCUCCAUGGACACAACUUCCCAAGAUUGUCUCAGCUGGCAAAAAAGUACUGAUGCAUCCCAGCCACCUGUAGCCCCUCAGACAGAAUUUUUAGUACUGGGGGUAAUAUUGUUACAUGCACCAGGGCAGCUUUAAAACCAGAGAAGGUCAACCAGCUGAUGUUCCUAGCACAAAACCUUGAUUGAAAUAUACUUGAAUAGUUCAGAUGUUACGUAGGGUUUGAGAG